AGUGAACGCUGGCGGUAGGCCUAACACAUGCAAGUCGAACGGCAGCACAGUAAGAGCUUGCUCUUACGGGUGGCGAGUGGCGGACGGGUGAGGAAUACAUCGGAAUCUACUUUUUCGUGGGGGAUAACGCAGGGAAACUUACGCUAAUACCGCAUACGACCUACGGGUGAAAGCAGGGGAUCUUCGGACCUUGCGCGAUUGAAUGAGCCGAUGUCGGAUUAGUUAGUUGGCGGGGUAAAGGCCCACCAAGGCGACGAUCCGUAGCUGGUGUGAGAGGAUGAUCAGCCACACUGGAGCAGAGACACGGUCCAGACUCCUACGGGAGGCAGCAGUGGGGAAUAUUGGACAAUGGGCGCAAGCCUGAUCCAGCCAUACCGCGUGGGUGAAGAAGGCCUUCGGGUUGUAAAGCCCUUUUGUUGGGAGAAAAAAGCAGCAGGUUAAUACCCCGCUGUUCUGACGGUACCCAAAGAAUAAGCACCGGCUAACUUCGUG
rnacentral:rRNA from 1 species